rnacentral:rRNA from 1 species
UUGGGCCGCACGCGCGCUACACUGACAGAGCCAGCGAGUUUUUCACCUUGGCCGGAAGGUCUGGGUAAUCUUGUGAACUCUGUCGUGCUGGGGAUAGAGCAUUGCAACUAUUGCUCUUCAACGAGGAAUUCCUAGUAAGCGUGAGUCAUCAGCUCGCGUUGAUUACGUCCCUGCCCUUUGUACACACCGCCCGUCGCUACUACCGAUUGAAUGGCUUAGUGAGGUCUUCAGAUUGGCUUCGGAGAGCCGGCAACGGCCCACUGUUGCUGAGAAGUUGAUCAAACUUGGUCAUUUAGAGGAAGUAAAAGUCGUAACAAGGUUUCCGUAGGUGAACCUGCGGAAGGAUCAUUACCGAACCGUCAACAAGAGUUGUUGCUGGUCCCUGCAUAGGGGCAUGUGCACACUCUGUUUACACAUCCACUCACACCUGUGCACCCUCUGUAGUUCUGUGGCCUGGGGGGCUCUGUCCUCCUGCUGUGGUUCUAUGUCUUUACACACACACUGUAACAAAGUCUCAUGGAAUGUAUGUCGCGUUUAACGCAAUGAAAUACAACUUUCAGCAACGGAUCUCUUGGCUCUCGCAUCGAUGAAGAACGCAGCGAAAUGCGAUAAGUAAUGUGAAUUGCAGAAUUCAGUGAAUCAUCGAAUCUUUGAACGCACCUUGCGCCCUUUGGCUAUUCCGAAGGGCAUGCCUGUUUGAGUAUCAUGAACACCUCAACUCUCAUGGCUUGCCGUGAUGAGCUUGGACUUUGGGGGUCUUGCUGGCCUGUGGGUCAGCUCCUCUCAAAYGAAUUAGCUUGCCAGUGUUUGGUGGCAUCACAGGUGUGAUAACUAUCUACGCUUGUGGUUUUCCACCAGGUAACCUUCAGCAGUGAAGGUUUGCUGGAGCUCACAAAUGUCUCUCUUCUGUGAGGACAUAUUUUGACCAUUUGAUCUCAAAUCAGGUAGGACUACCCGCUGAACUUAAGCAUAUCAAUAAGCGGAGGAAAAGAAACUAACAAGGAUUCCCCUAGUAACUGCGAGUGAAGCGGGAAGAGCUCAAAUUUAAAAUCUGGCGUGCCCCUGGCCGUCCGAGUUGUAGUCUGGAGAAGCGUUUUCCGUGUUGGACCGUGUAUAAGUCUCUUGGAACAGGGCGUCAUACAGGGUGAGAAUCCCGU